rnacentral:rRNA from 1 species
GAUAGGUGGGGUGUGUAAGCGCGGCGACGUGUUGAGCUAACCCAUACUAAUUACCCGUGAGGCUUAACCAUACAACACCCAAGAAGUGUU